AGUCGAGCGGAGAUGAGGUGCUUGCACCUUAUCUUAGCGGCGGACGGGUGAGUAAUGCUUAGGAAUCUGCCUAUUAGUGGGGGACAACAUUCCGAAAGGAAUGCUAAUACCGCAUACGUCCUACGGGAGAAAGCAGGGGAUCUUCGGACCUUGCGCUAAUAGAUGAGCCUAAGUCGGAUUAGCUAGUUGGUGGGGUAAAGGCCUACCAAGGCGACGAUCUGUAGCGGGUCUGAGAGGAUGAUCCGCCACACUGGGACUGAGACACGGCCCAGACUCCUACGGGAGGCAGCAGUGGGGAAUAUUGGACAAUGGGGGGAACCCUGAUCCAGCCAUGCCGCGUGUGUGAAGAAGGCCUUAUGGUUGUAAAGCACUUUAAGCGAGGAGGAGGCUACUGAGACUAAUACUCUUGGAUAGUGGACGUUACUCGCAGAGUAAGCACCGGCUAACUCUGUGCCAGCAGCCGCGGUAAUACAGAGGGUGCGAGCGUUAAUCGGAUUUACUGGGCGUAAAGCGUGCGUAGGCGGCUUUUUAAGUCGGAUGUGAAAUCCCCGAGCUUAACUUGGGAAUUGCAUUCGAUACUGGGAAGCUAAAGUAUGGGAGAGGAUGGUAGAAUUCCAGGUGUAGCGGUGAAAUGCGUAGAGAUCUGGAGGAAUACCGAUGGCGAAGGCAGCCAUCUGGCCUAAUACUGACGCUGAGGUACGAAAGCAUGGGGAGCAAACAGGAUUAGAUACCCUGGUAGUCCAUGCCGUAAACGAUGUCUACUAGCCGUUGGGGCCUUUGAGGCUUUAGUGGCGCAGCUAACGCGAUAAGUAGACCGCCUGGGGAGUACGGUCGCAAGACUAAAACUCAAAUGAAUUGA
rnacentral:rRNA from 1 species